UACGGAAGGGGCAAGCGUUGUUCGGAAUCAUUGGGCGUAAAGGGCGCGUAGGCGGUCGCGUGUGUCUGCUGUGAAAGCACACGGCUCAACCGUGUGAAGUCGGUAGAAACUGCGGGACUUGAGGCUGGGAGAGGUUGGUGGAAUUCCCUGUGUAGCGGUGAAAUGCGUAGAUAUAGGGGAGAACACUCGUGGCGAAGGCGGCCAGCUGGACCAGCCCUGACGCUGAGGCGCGACAGCGUGGGGAGCAAACAGG
rnacentral:rRNA from 2 species